rnacentral:rRNA from 1 species
AGACUUUGAUCCUGGCUCAGAACGAACGCUGGCGGCAGGCUUAACACAUGCAAGUCGAGCGCCCCGCAAGGGGAGCGGCAGACGGGUGAGUAACGCGUGGGAAUCUACCCAGCUCUACGGAAUAACUCAGGGAAACUUGUGCUAAUACCGUAUACGUCCGAUAGGAGAAAGAUUUAUCGGAGUUGGAUGAGCCCGCGUUGGAUUAGCUAGUUGGUGGGGUAAUGGGCUACCAAGGCGACGAUCCAUAGCUGGUCUGAGAGGAUGAUCAGCCACACUGGGACUGAGACACGGGCCAGACUCCUACGGGAGGCAGCAGUGGGGAAUAUUGGACAAUGGGCGCAAGCCUGAUCCAGCCAUGCCGCGUGAGUGAUGAAGGCCCUAGGGUUGUAAAGCUCUUUCACCGGUGAAGAUAAUGACGGUAACCGGAGAAGAAGCCCCGGCUAACUUCGUGCCAGCAGCCGCGGUAAUACGA